rnacentral:rRNA from 1 species
UACUACAGCCAUACUUCUUGCCAAUCCUCACAAGCCAAACAGGGUUGAACUAGGUAAGUGCUUGAAUUGGAGACUGCCAAGGAACACCAGGGAGAUGCAGGAA